rnacentral:tRNA from 1 species
GGAAGGAAAACGACCCUGGUGGGUCGGCCAGACUUCAAAUCUGGUGGGUGAUGCCACGCAUCGCCGGGUGGGUUCGACUCCCAUUUCCUUCCGCCA